rnacentral:tRNA from 1 species
UAUAUAAGCGUUUAAAUACUUUUCUUCAAAUAGCCUUCUAAGCUGUGGGUCAAGGGUUCGAACCCCUUCGGAA